UAUAAUAUUUUGACUUUUCGUCUUAUUUAAAUUUUUUUGCGAUUAAUAUUUUUAUUCUUACUAGAUGAUAAAACAUGAAUAGUACUUUAUGCGUGACUAACUUUUUUAAGUUUUUAUACAUAUUUUUUAAAUAAGACGAAUAGACAAACGUUAAACACGGAAAAAC
rnacentral:pre_miRNA from 1 species